AUAGAAAAAAUUAUUUCCCUAAAGUUUUGAUUAUCUAUUUUUUAAUGAUAAACAAUCAUUCAUGUAGCGUGUAAGGUGUAAGAUUAUUUAAAUUAUAUCUAAGAUUGGGACAUGUAGUUAGUUAAACACUGUAUAUAUUGAUAACAGUAACAAUGCGAUUAAAAAAGGCCGUGGUUGUCUUUGGCUCUCUAAUACUAACAGCAGUGUUAUUAAUGAUAAUCUCUGCAAAUUAUUUGUCUAUGUUUCCCAAUAGAAAAUCAACUAUUGUGGAAGAUUUUGCUGAG
rnacentral:lncRNA from 1 species